rnacentral:lncRNA from 1 species
UUAUAUAUAUAAUAUACGUAAUCCUAAAUAUAAUAUAUUAUAUAUAUAGAUAUAUAAUUAUAUAUAUGUCACUUUUAUAUUUCUAUUACGCAACUCCACAUGCACUGCACACACUUUGCUCCCUUUCUUCUUUUUUUUCCAUACUACAUCCUCUUUCUAUUCUAUUUUCUUUAUUUAACAAUUGCACCUCAAUCCCGUCACUGCAACCAAUUUUCUUUCAUCUUCUUCAUCCAUGAUCACACACACCCAACACGUAGCUCCCAAGCAACUCUCCCUUGCUCU